rnacentral:rRNA from 1 species
UACAGAGGGUGCAAGCGUUAAUCGGAGUUACUGGGCGUAAAGGGCGCGUAGGCGGUUAUAUAAGUGAGCUGUGAAAUCCCUGGGCUUAACCUAGGAACUGCAGCUCAUACUGUGUGACUGGAGUAUUGUAGAGGGUAGUGGAAUUUCCGGUGUAGCGGUGAAAUGCGUAGAGAUCGGAAGGAACACCAGUGGCGAAGGCGGCUACCUGGACAAAUACUGACGCUGAGGCGCGAGAGCGUGGGGAGCAAACAGG